GGGGGCGUAACGGAUUCGACGGGAUUGAUCCUGUGGCCGGAAGGCGUGCCGGGUUCCGAGCUCCCGUAAAACGAUCGGAAAACAAAAACUGCCAACGCGCAGUAUGCUUACGCUGCCUGAUGGACAGGCAGCCGUCCUGACCGGCAGGCUUGCUGGCCGGUCUAAGGACGUCGCGAGUGCAGGCUAGGCGGAAGGCUUCGGCCCGGAGCCGCACGCCGAGAAAAAUCGGGCUGGGCCGCCGUGGCUUUUGCCGGCUCCGAAGCGGUGGCCGAGAUUGAAGAACCGGCUACGCACGUAGGCUUCCGGCAGCGGGCUUUCUCGGACGCGGGUUCGACUCCCGCCGCCUCCACCA
rnacentral:tmRNA from 1 species